UGGGGAAUAUUGGACAAUGGGCGCAAGCCUGAUCCAGCCAUGCCGCGUGAGUGAUGAAGGCCCUAGGGUUGUAAAGCUCUUUCACCGGUGAAGAUAAUGACGGUAACCGGAGAAGAAGCCCCGGCUAACUUCGUGCCAGCAGCCGCGGUAAUACGAAGGGGGCUAGCGUUGUUCGGAUUUACUGGGCGUAAAGCGCACGUAGGCGGACUUUUAAGUCAGGGGUGAAAUCCCGGGGCUCAACCCCGGAACUGCCUUUGAUACUGGAAGUCUUGAGUAUGAUAGAGGUGAGUGGAAUUCCGAGUGUAGAAGUGAAAUUCGUAGAUAUUCGGAGGAACACCAGUGGCGAAGGCGGCUCACUGGACCAUUACUGACGCUGAGGUGCGAAAGCGUGGGGAGCAAACAGG
rnacentral:rRNA from 1 species